UGAGUAGAUACUGCGCUGCCGAGAAAAGCUUCUAAGAGAGACUGAUUGUGACCGUACCGUAAACCGACACAGGUGGGUGAGGAGAAUAUCCUAAGGCGCUCGAAAGAACCCACGUUAAGGAACUCGGCAAAUUAACUCCGUAACUUCGGGAGAAGGAGUGCUCCGGUAGGGUGACUGGAAUACAUAGGAAACUUUGUAUCGAAAGGUAGCCCGAUGGAGUCGCAGAGAAUAGGCUCAGGCGACUGUUUAUCAAAAACACAGGACUCUGCUAAAGCGAAUAGCCGACGUAUAGGGUCUGAUGCCUGCCCAAUGCUGGAAGGUUACGGGGAGGAGUCAGGAGUGGUAACAUUCCGAAGCUCUGAACUUAAGCCCCAGUGAAUGGCGGCCGUAACUAUAACGGUCCUAAGGUAGCGAAAUCCCUUGUCAGGUAAGUUCUGACCCGCAUGAAUGGCUUAACGAUCUCAGCGCUGUCUCAACGAGGGACUCGGCGAAACUGUAGCACCAGCGAAGAUGCUGGUUACCCGCGGAGAGACGGAGAGACCCCGUGGAGCUUUACUGCAGCCUGGUAUUGGAUUUGACUGCAUCAUAUAGAGAAUAGGUGGGAGGCGUUGAAACAAGCUCGCUAGGGCUUGCGGAGCCACCAAUGGAAUACCACCUAUGGUGUGGUUGGAAUUCUAACCCGCGCCGUUAUCCGGUGUGGGGAAAGUAUCAGGUGGGCAGUUUGACUGGGGCGGUCGCCUCCCAAAAUGUAACGGAGGCGUACAAAGGUUCCCUCAGCGCGAUUGGAAACCGCGCGACGAGUGCAAACGCAUACAGGGAGCUUAACUGUGAGACCCACAAGUCAAGCAGAUGCGAAAGCAGGUGUUAGUGACCCCGCGAUCCCGAGUGGAAGGGUCGCCGAUUAUCGGAUAAAAGUUACCCCGGGGAUAACAGGCUAAUUGCGCCCGCGCGUUCACAGCGACGGCGCAGCUUGGCACCUCGAUGUCGGCUCGUCACAUCCUGGGGCUGAAUUCGGUCCCAAGGGUUGGGCUGCUCGCCCAUUAAAGUGAUACGCGAGCUGGGUUCAGAACGUCGUGAGACAGUUCGGUCCCUAUCUUCCGUGGGCGUUGGAAACUUGCGAGGAGCUGCCCCCAGUACGAGAGGACCGGGGUGGACGAACCUAUGGUGUACCUGUUGUCACGCCAGUGGCACGUGCAGGGUAGCUACGUUCGGUCGGGAUGAGCGCUGAAAGCAUCUAAGCGCGAAGCCCACCUCAAGACUAGGUUUCCGCGAGCUUCGAGCUGUAAGGCCCCUGGUAGACCACCAGGUUGAUAGGCUGGGUGUGUAAGGGCGGCAACGUCUUUAGCUUACCAGUACUAAUAGGCCGAGCGCUUGACCAU
rnacentral:rRNA from 1 species